UCGUAUGUUCUAUUUUUCCUUCGAAAGGAUGAGGUUAAAGAACGAUAGAAGUUGCUGCCUAUAACCUCGAUGCAUCUCCUGAUCAAUCAGCCGCCAUGGAGACUGAAGUGCCCAAAGUACCAGCCAAGAAGAAAGAACCUAGCAAAAGGGCUGCUGCUGCACAGAAGAAGAAGCCCUUGGCAACUGUUUCGGAGAUAUCUGAUGAUGAUGAUGAUGAUUAUAAUGAUAUUAAUGAAAUUGAUGAUGAUGAUGAUGAUGAUGAUGAAGAUAGUGAGAUAGAAGUUGUAGCUACUCCAGAAGCCAGGAAAAAGGGCGGGGGAAAACUGGCUGCAAAUGCAAAGGCAGUUAAGGCCCCUGCAGCGGCAAAGAAGAGAGGUGCAGCGAAUAAGCAGCAGCCUCAGACAUUGGCCCAGAAGCUUUUAACUGACAUGUUAAAGCCUGCUGAAAAUUCCAGGAUUUCACCGGAGAAGAAAGUGAGAAAGAUGAGGGCAUCUCCAUUCAACAAGAAAAGUGGUUCUGUGUUGGGAAGGGUUGGUAAGGUAAAUGAAGUGACUGAAAAUGAAGAAAAUUGGGGUUCUGCUUCUACUUCUGCCAGUACUGAAGAAACUAUUGAAGUUGCACCAGCAAGAGCAAGACCUCAAAGGGUGAACCAAGUUAGAAAACAAGAAAGAGUAUGACAGAAUAUGAUCCGCGUCUUGUGGCUCCAACCUGCUUGUACCUGGCAUCAAAAGCAGAAGAAAGCACUGUGCAGGCCAGGCUUCUUGUAUUUUACCUUAAAAAAUUAUAUGCUGAUGAAAAGUAUGACUCAAUUAACUUGGUGCUAUGGGCCAGGUAGUUGCCCAUCAAAGAGGGUCGCAUGGGCUAGAGAAUUGAUAGACGAAGAAGCAGAACAGUUCCUCAUGCCUCGUUUCAUUGACCCAGAUUCAGAAAGACCUUGGCUUGCCCAAAGAAUGGCCUUGAGGAGACCAUAUUCUGCGUAAAGUUAAUGGAAGGAGACCUGCUUAUGCUUCCCAGCAACUAAUAUAAGAUCUGCAUAAUACGUUUUAUUUUUAAGUCUUUGAUUGGUCAAGUUAUGAGAGAAUAGCAUGGUGCCUUUUGAUGUAUGAACUUCCUCUAUAGAUUGUUUGGCUUAUAUUUUGUGAACUUGUCCGAUCAGCUUGUGUUAAGAUUCUUUCAAAUAGUGUUUCAAAAAGGGACAGUAUCAUUCUGAGCAAUUCGUGACUGAUGGUUUUGUAGAAGCAAGAUGGUUUCUCCAUUUGAAAAACCAGUUUUAGUU